AUUGAACGCUGGCGGCAUGCCUUACACAUGCAAGUCGAACGGCAGCACGGGUGCUUGCACCUGGUGGCGAGUGGCGAACGGGUGAGUAAUGUAUCGGAACGUACCUUUCAGUGGGGGAUAACUAUCCGAAAGGAUAGCUAAUACCGCAUAUUCUGUGAGCAGGAAAGCAGGGGAUCGCAAGACCUUGCGCUGAUUGAGCGGCCGAUAUCAGAUUAGCUAGUUGGUGGGGUAAAGGCCUACCAAGGCUACGAUCUGUAGCGGGUCUGAGAGGGUGAUCCGCCACACUGGAACUGAGACACGGUCCAGACUCCUACGGGAGGCAGCAGUGGGGAAUUUUGGACAAUGGGGGCAACCCUGAUCCAGCCAUGCCGCGUGAGUGAAGAAGGCCUUCGGGUUGUAAAGCUCUUUCGGACGGGAAGAAAUCGCAUCGGCUAAUACCUGGUGCGGAUGACGGUACCGUAAUAAGAAGCACCGGCUAACUACGUGCCAGCCGCCGCUGUAAUAC
rnacentral:rRNA from 1 species